rnacentral:rRNA from 1 species
AUUGAACGCUGGCGGCAUGCCUUACACAUGCAAGUCGAACGGCAGCAUGGAGAGCUUGCUCUCUGAUGGCGAGUGGCGAAAGGGUGAGUAAUGCAUCGGAACGUACCGUGUAAUGGGGGAUAACGUAGCGAAAGUCACGCUAAUACCGCAUACGACCUGCGGGAGCAAGCAGGGGAUCGCAAGACCUUGCGUUAUACGAGCGGCCGAUGCCAGAUUAGCUAGUUGGUGAGGUAAAGACUCAACAAGGCGACGAUCUGUAGCCGGUGUGAGAGGAUGAUCCGCCACACUGGGACUGGUACACGGCCCAGACUACUACGGGAGGCAGCAAGGGGGAAUUUUGGACAAUGGGGGCAACCCUGAUCCAGCCAUGCCGCGUGAGUGAAGAAGGCCGUCGGGUUGUAAAGCGCUUUCGGCCGGGAAGAAAUCGCACAGACUAAUACUCUGUGUGGAUGACGGUACCGGCAUAAGAAGCACCGGCUAACUACGUGCCAGCCGCCGCGGUAA